UAUCGAGAAAGAAUCGCAAAAGGGAAUGGAGAAGAGAUAAAAAAGAAAAGAACAUUGUCACUCUAUAAAACCGACGAGGGAGGAGAAAAUUAGAAAAAGAAAACCCUUCGAUCCCUUUCUUUCCCACCUCGAUUUCGUCGGUAACUGGAACUCUCUCCCCUUUAAAUCCGAACCCCCCAUGUCACUCUCUGACUCCAUGGCAUCUCUCUGGCGUGCCGCAACGGCCCUAACGCAAACCCAAUCAACCCAAACGGACGGGGUCGAGUUCUGGUCGAACCCAGAACGAACAGGGUGGUUAAUGAAACAAGGGGAGCACAUCAAGACAUGGAGACGCCGGUGGUUCAUUUUAAAAGAAGGAAAGCUCUUCUGGUUCAAAGAUUCCACCGUGACUCGUGUGUGUAAGCCACGUGGCGUUAUCCCAGUUGCCUCUUGCUUGACAGUUAAAGGAGCCGAGGACGUGCUUCACAAACAGUACGCAUUCGAGUUGUCUACGAGGAACGAUACCAUGUAUUUUAUUGCAGAUUCUGAGAAGGAAAAGGAGGAUUGGAUUAAUUCAAUCGGACGGUCUAUAGUUCAGCACUCGAGAUCGGUUACUGAUUCGGAGAUCGUUGAUUAUGAUAGUAAAAGAUGAUGGUGAUCAUGAUUAUAGGGUGAUUAUGGUAUAGAAAUAUGCUAAGAGUAUUGCUGGGUGUCCCAGGUUAGAUUGAUAUUAUUCAGGUAGUGAUGCUGAAACUGGAGAAAUUAUCUUCGCCUGCGGAAAACACUGAAAUGGCAACCAUUUCUACCUUAUAAAAAAUAACGUCGCCCUGGUUGAAGGUAUGAUUUAGUCAAGAGGCUCAGGUGCAGAAGCAUCCAUGAAAACCAACUGAUACGCCCAUGCUCUAGAAGAGGCCUACUAGAAUAGAAGCAGCCUGUAAUGUUGGAACGUCUUUCUAGUGUUAAAAUACAAAAAAGAUUGACAGGCUUUCCUUGUUCUCCUGUCAUGGUAAGAAAUCCCUUUAAAUAGAGCCUGCUAGUUACCCAAAUAUUACGGAUGAAAGGAUUAUUUCUUGCAAAUUCUUGUUCAA